ACAGUGAGAUAAAAAGAACAUUGGGAGAAAAUCUCAAAACAUUGAGAGUAUGAGUGGCAUUUCCUCAAAAAAUUAAAAAUAUAAUUACCAUAUGGUGCAGCAUUCCCACUUCCUAAAGAAUUAAAAGGGAAUUUUAAUCUCAAAGAGAUCUUUGCACUCUCCCGUUCAUAGCAGCAUUAUUCACCACAGAUGGGAUGCAGGAACAGCCCACACGCCCAUCGAUGUAUGAAUGGAGAAACAGAAUGCGGCACAUGCAGACACUGGACUACUAUCCAACCUGAGAAAGGGAGGAAAUUGUGCCACGUACUAUAUCAUGGAUGAACCUCGAGGACAUUAGGGAAAAUUGAUGAGGAAUCUGGAAUAUAAGACAAAGAGGAGAAUGAGGAGGUGGAGGAGGAAUGGUCUCAGGAAAAUGGAAUAUGGCCAAAUUUCUGCCUGGUGGGGGUGGCAAGAGAGUCAGUGGUAAGAAGGGGAUUUCUCAACUUCACCCCCAAGGCAGGGUUCUGGACUCUGUAGCUGUCCUCAGCUGCGAAGAUUGAGGGCAGAGUAACUCUGGGCUCUUAUUAUAUAUUA